rnacentral:rRNA from 1 species
GACGUAGGGUCCGAGCGUUGUCCGGAGUUACUGGGCGUAAAGCGCGCGCAGGCGGUUCUUCAAGUCAGUGGUGAAAGCCCGGAGCUCAACUCCGGAAUUGCCAUUGAAACUGUGGAACUUGAGGAUGAGAGAGGUGAGUGGAAUUCCCAGUGUAGAGGUGAAAUUCGUAGAUAUUGGGAAGAACACCGGUGGCGAAGGCGGGUCUCUGGGCAGUAACUGACGCUGAGGAGCGAAAGCGUGGGGAGCGAACAGG